ACGAACGCUGGCGGCGUGCCUAAUACAUGCAAGUUGAGCGCUGAAGGUUGGUACUUGUCCCGACUGGAUGAGCAGCGAACGGGUGAGUAACGCGUGGGGAAUCUGCCUUUGAGCGGGGGACAACAUUUGGAAACGAAUGCUAAUACCGCAUAAAAACUUUAAACACAAGUUUUAAGUUUGAAAGAUGCAAUUGCAUCACUCAAAGAUGAUCCCGCGUUGUAUUAGCUAGUUGGUGAGGUAAAGGCUCACCAAGGCGAUGAUACAUAGCCGACCUGAGAGGGUGAUCGGCCACAUUGGGACUGAGACACGGCCCAAACUCCUACGGGAGGCAGCAGUAGGGAAUCUUCGGCAAUGGACGAAAGUCUGACCGAGCAACGCCGCGGGAGUGAAGAAGGUUUUCGGAUCGUAAAACUCUGUUGGUAGAGAAGAACGUUGGUGAGAGUGGAAAGCUCAUCAAGUGACGGUAACUACCCAGAAAGGGACGGCUAACUACGUG
rnacentral:rRNA from 1 species